UCUGCUACAUUAGAGCCUGUGAAGAACCUUCUGGUGUGUUUUCAUAGUGGGUCAGACAGUUUUUCUGGGGAUGCCUGUGAGGUGAAGGUGGCAGCUCCGUCUCACUCUCCAUCAGCCGAAGCUGAGUAUUGGAGGGUCAAAGCCAUGGCUCAGCAGGUCUUUAUGUUAGACACUCAAUGCUCUCCAAAGACACCCAACAACAAAGAAGGCUUUGAGCAUGCUCAGUCCUGUGUGCUCAUCAUUGAGCUGCCAUCU